rnacentral:rRNA from 1 species
GUGGGGAAUAUUGGGCAAUGGGCGCAAGCCUGACCCAGCAACGCCGCGUGAAGGAAGAAGGCUUUCGGGUUGUAAACUUCUUUUACCAGGGACGAAACAAAUGACGGUACCUGGUGAAAAAGCCACGGCUAACUACGUGCCAGCAGCCGCGGUAAUACGUAGGUGGCGAGCGUUAUCCGGAUUUAUUGGGUGUAAAGGGCGUGUAGGCGGGACAGCAAGUCAGAUGUGAAAACCAGAGGCUCAACCUCUGGCCUGCAUUUGAAACUGUUGUUCUUGAGUGUCGGAGAGGUAAUCGGAAUUCCGUGUGUAGCGGUGAAAUGCGUAGAUAUACGGAGGAACACCAGUGGCGAAGGCGGAUUACUGGACGAUAACUGACGCUGAGGCGCGAAAGCGUGGGGAGCAAACAGGAUUAGAUACCCUAGUAGUCC